rnacentral:tRNA from 1 species
GGGGGUGUCGUUCAGUGGUAGGACUGCGGUCUCCAAAACCGCCAACGGGAGUUCGAGUCUCUCCGCCCCUGCCA